rnacentral:tRNA from 1 species
GGCCGCGUAGCGUAAUGGUUAACGCGUUGCUUUCCGGAGGCAAAGAUUCCAGUUUCGAAUACUGGCGUGGUCG